rnacentral:rRNA from 1 species
AUUGAACGCUGGCGGCAGGCCUAACACAUGCAAGUCGAGCGAGCGGCGGACGGGUGAGUAAUGUAUGGGGACUGCCCGAUAGAGGGGGGUAACUACUGGAAACGGUAGAUAAUACCGCAUACUAGCGGAUAAUCCAUAUGGGAUUAGCUAGUAGGUGAGGUAAUGGAUCACCUAGGCGACGAUCCCUAGCUGGUCUGAGAGGAUGGUCAGCCGCACUGGGACUGAGACUCGGCCCAGACUCCUACGGAGGCAGCAAUGGGGAAUAUUGGACAAUGGGCGCAAGCCUGAUGCAGCCAUGCGGCGGGUAUGAAGAAGGCCCUAGGGUUAGAAAGUACUUUCAUGCGGGGGGCGUUACCGACAGAAGAAGCAGCGGCUAACUCCGUGGCAGCAGCGGCGGUAAUAC